rnacentral:rRNA from 1 species
AUUGAACGCUGGCGGCAGGCCUAACACAUGCAAGUCGAGCGGGGUUUUCGGACCUAGCGGCGGACGGGUGAGUAAUGCGUAGGAAGCUACCCGAUAGAGGGGGAUACCAGUUGGAAACGACUGUUAAUACCGCAUAAUGUCUACGGACCAAAGUGUGGGACCUUCGGGCCACAUGCUAUCGGAUGCGCCUACGUGGGAUUAGCUAGUUGGUGAGGUAAUGGCUCACCAAGGCGACGAUCCCUAGCUGGUUUGAGAGGAUGAUCAGCCACACUGGAACUGAGACACGGUCCAGACUCCUACGGGAGGCAGAAGUGGGGAAUAUUGGACAAUGGGCGCAAGCCUGAUCCAGCCAUGCCGCGUGUGUGAAGAAGGCCUUUUGGUUGUAAAGCACUUUAAGCGAGGAGGAGGCUACUAGUAUUAAUACUACUGGAUAGUGGACGUUACUCGCAGAAUAAGCACCGGCUAACUCUGUGCCAGCCGCCGCAGUAACAC